rnacentral:piRNA from 1 species
UCCUCAAGUUGGUCCCUGAGUAGCCUAA